rnacentral:tRNA from 1 species
AAUCUUAUUACUUGGAUUUUGAAAAUCUAAAAAGGUUUUAUUAUAACCUAAGGUUU